rnacentral:tRNA from 1 species
GAGAGAAUAGCUCAGGUGAUAGAGCAUCUGCUUACCAAGCACAAAGCUCUGGGUUCAAAUCUCAGUAUUACCC